CGGUGGUGGGCGGGGCGUGCCUCAGGGACGUUACAACUCGCCGAGGUUGGCGGCGGCGCCAUUUUGAACUGGCUGAGGGUCGGGGGCGGUGGUGGCUGGAGCGAGCUCCGCGUUCCCCGAGAAAGCCAGCGAGGAGGGAGCGAGUUCUGAAUAUGGCAGCGAACAGGAACUUAAAACAAGUGCGGAUCGAGAAUAGCUCCCCAGCGGCGCCGCUGGGCAUGGUGGGGGGCGGUGGUGGCGGCAGCGGCAACCUGAAGGGAUUGCGGGGCCUAGAAACAGAGAGUGAGGCAGCGGCGGCCAUGGCGCUAGUGCCGAGCAAAGAAGGUGGAGAUGAAGAGCAGGAGGUUGGUUUUACCAUCGACAUCAAAAGCUUCCUCAAACCUGGCGAGAAGAGCUACACGCAACGCUGCAGGCUGUUCGUGGGGAAUCUGCCUACCGAUAUCACAGAGGAAGAUUUCAAGCGCCUCUUCGAACGCUAUGGGGAGCCUAGCGAGGUCUUCAUCAACCGGGACCGUGGCUUUGGCUUCAUUCGCCUGGAAUCUAGGACACUGGCUGAAAUAGCAAAGGCGGAACUUGAUGGUACUAUUUUGAAGAGCAGACCACUUCGGAUUCGAUUUGCUACACAUGGAGCUGCCCUAACCGUCAAGAAUCUGUCACCUGUGGUUUCUAAUGAGCUGCUGGAACAAGCAUUCUCUCAAUUUGGGCCAGUGGAAAGAGCUGUUGUUGUAGUAGAUGAUCGUGGCAGAGCUACAGGAAAAGGUUUCGUAGAGUUUGCAGCAAAACCUCCAGCGCGAAAAGCUCUAGAAAGAUGCAGUGAUGGGGCAUUCUUGCUAACAACAACACCUCGACCUGUUGUUGUAGAGCCAAUGGAGCAAUUUGAUGAUGAAGAUGGGCUCCCAGAGAAGUUAAUGCAAAAAACACAACAGUAUCACAAGGAAAGAGAACAGCCUCCACGUUUUGCUCAGCCUGGAACAUUUGAGUUUGAGUAUGCUUCACGGUGGAAGGCUCUUGAUGAGAUGGAAAAGCAACAGCGUGAACAGGUUGACAGGAACAUUAGAGAAGCCAAAGAGAAACUAGAGGCAGAAAUGGAAGCAGCUAGACAUGAGCAUCAGCUAAUGCUGAUGAGGCAAGAUCUCAUGCGACGUCAAGAAGAAUUGAGGCGUUUGGAAGAACUUCGAAAUCAAGAACUUCAAAAACGCAAGCAGAUCCAACUGAGACAUGAGGAAGAACAUCGACGUCGUGAAGAAGAGAUGAUGCGGCAGAGAGAACAGGAGGAAUUACGACGACAGCAGGAGGGAGGAUUCAAACCCAAUUUCAUGGACAAUAGAGAACAGGAAAUGAGAAUGGGUGAUAUGGGUCCUCGUGGAGCAAUAAACAUGGGAGAUGCGUUUAGCCCAGCACCUGCUGGUAACCAAGGCCCUCCUCCAAUGAUGGGUAUGAAUAUGAACAACAGAGGAACUUUACCUGGCCCUGCAAUGGGUCCUGGUCCUUCCAUGGGACCAGAAGGAGCUGCAAAUAUGGGAACACCAAUGAUGCCAGAUAAUGGAACAGUGGUUACUGUUAAAAUCUUAAAAUGCGGAUGAAGACUGGCUCGUGCAGAAUCCUUCUGCUAUAUUACACAUACAGCAGGAAAUCUAAAAGUUUUGUACAAGGUAUGUAUUAGAGUAUUUGGCUUUAUUCAGCAACUACUGAAAUUAGGAGCCCUCUUUUUAUGUUCAUAUUUGUGAUGCACAGUAAUUCUGCUUUUACACUUCAAGUAAUACUUGCUUUCAGAUAGUGUAAUUCUUUACAUAAUUUCUGUCACACAUUAGCAUGUUUUUAAAGGACUUGACAUACAUGUACACAGCCUCUAUCAGACAGCUCAAAAUCUGAUUAGCCAUCAUGUUUCUUGCAUCUGAAGCCCAUAGUGCCACAUUAAUAUGAUGCUGUGGCUGAGCUGCUGGAUAUUAUUGACUCAUUGCAUUCAGAAUCCAGUUUGUAUGAUCAACAUUGUAGUUUUUGAUUCUGAGCAGUCUUUGGGAUUAAGCCAGUAGGCUUUGGUAUGGAAGGCUGUGUCUUUAAAGCCUGAGAUAGAGUUCAGUUUCUCUAUGUACGAGUAGGUAGUAUCACCCACCCUGGGUGCUAAAAGCAUCUCUGAGACUGACAGAUGUGAAGCUUUUAAAGAGUAACUUGAUUCUAUAGUUCCAGUAGUUCUGAAAUUCUAAAAUACCAGUUCCUUUUCUAAAGUAAAAAUAAUUUUAAAUGGUGGGAUUCAUCUGAGAUGUGAAAGUUCUACUGGUAAAGCUAGAGGCAUUUGGGUUAGUUCUCUGUGUGUGUUUGGCCCAGUUAAAUGUAUUCAGAGCUGUCGCUAUAGUUGUGUUAAAUAAAUAAGUAAAUAGAGAAUUAGAUACAUAAGGAAAAAGAUUUAUUGAGGUAUUUAUUAAUGACAUGAAAAAUGUCCCUGGCCAUGGCAGAGAAUCUUCAGAGGUCCCUUCCAACCCAAAUGAUUCUGUGAUUCUGUAGUAGUAGUCUGUAUCAUUAAUUACUAAUUUAUGUAUUGCUAAUGAGAGGGGUCCUUUUACUGAUUUGCAAGUCAGCUGUUAAGUGUGGGAAGCAAGCAGUAAAACUUCAGAGCGUUGCAUGGGAAGUAUAAACAUGAUGGGGUCCUUUGUCAUUCUGUAAAAAGCAUGGGAAGAAAUCUUUCUGCAUUAACACAUCUGAGACCAUACUGUGAGUUAUAAAUAAUACUGAAAAAUUGGCCAUGUGGUGUUUGAUUCCCAAAACUGAAAUAGUUCUAAAAUUCCUACCCAAGACAGGCAGAAUCCUAUUACGCUCUCCACACUGUUACUCUCUUCCUAUUGUGCCUUCAGAUGGAGAGUCGGAGCUCUGCUCCCCUCCCUA